rnacentral:lncRNA from 1 species
GCGUCGCUCACGCUGGGAGCUGUAGACCGGAGCUGUUCCUAUUUGGCCAUCUUGGCUCCUCCCCCGACAAUUUCUAGAAAAAGUCAUAAGAUCAGCAAGAAGAGAAACUGUAGAUUUGCCUCAACUCAACAUGUUAAGUAAUCGCCUGACAUCUACAUAAGACCACCUCUUGGCACCUGGCUACACAAGCUGAAAUGGUUGUCUUUGGAAAAAGAAUAGACAUUCAUGGCAGACCAAAGAUCACUCUCUGAAGGUGUUAUGUGAGAAAUCCACACAGGAGAAACCCAAGAAAACCACGCAGGUAAAUGCUAGCCUGGAAAGACAGAGGGAAAACAUGCCAAGUGGAGCCCACCACAAGGACAGCAGUCAGAGCCCAAGAGCCCAGCUUUAAAAGGGCUGCAUACCAAAAGGAACAAAAGCACAAAACAAACAAACAAACAAACAAACAAGCAAAUGAUGGUGGAAACUAUUUUCAAAACUUCCCUGUUCUGGUAAAGACGUUUUCAGAGCUCAAACUAGUCCUGCUGAAAAUAUUUUUUAAAAUAUGAAAGCAUAGCGGAAAAUUUGUAUGAAAAAGAAAAAAGAAAAAGAAGGAGGAGGAAGAAGAAGAAGAAAGAAGAAAAAGGAGAGGAAGAAGAAGAAGGAGGAGGAGGAGAAGAAGAGGAGGAGGAGGAGGAGGAAAUGGCAGAGACAAUGUAUGUCCCAGAAAGCCUAAAAUGUGUACUGUUUGUCCGUUUAUAGAAAAAGUGUGCCAGUCCCUACUCUGUUCCCAAUUUUAAAAACAAAUAAAUAAAAAGAAAAACAAGCAAGUCUCUCAGCCAAGAAAGAAUCGAUGGGAACUUUUUCAACUUUAUAAAGUGGAUCUACAAAAAACUACAACUAACACUAACGUCACACCUAAUGGUGAAAGUCUGAAUGUUUUCCCUCUAAGACUAGGAAAAGGUGGCAUGGAUGUCCACUCUCCCUACUCUAUUCAGCAUUGUAUCAAAAGUUCUUAUCAGUGAAAUAAGACAAGAAAACAAUAAAUGGCAUCCAUAUUGGAAAAGAAGUAACACUGUCUUUAUUUGCAGAUGACAUUAUAAUCUAAAUAGAAAAUCUUAUGGAAUCUGCUAAAAAGCUAAUAGAACCAAUAAGCGAGUUUAGCAUAGUUACAAGACACAACAUAUAAAAAUUAAUUAUAUUUCAAAAUACUAGCAAUGAACAAUUAAAUUUUCCUUUUAAAAUUUUCAACAACAUCAAGACAUGAACCACUGGGGGAUAAACCCCAUGAAACAUGGCAGAAAAAAAUUCAGGAA